AUUGAACGCUGGCGGCAUGCCUUACACAUGCAAGUCGAACGGUAGCAGGUCUUCGGAUGCUGACGAGUGGCGAACGGGUGAGUAAUACAACGGAACGUGCCCGAUCGUGGGGGAUAACUACUCGAAAGAGUAGCUAAUACCGCAUACGACCUACGGAUGAAAGCGGGGGAUCUUUGGACCUCGCGCGGACGGAGCGGCCGAUGGCAGAUUAGGUAGUUGGUGGGCUAAAAGCUUACCAAGCCGACGAUCUGUAGCUGGUCUGAGAGGACGACCAGCCACACUGGGACUGAGACACGGCCCAGACUCCUACGGGAGGCAGCAGUGGGGAAUUUUGGACAAUGGGCGAAAGCCUGAUCCAGCAAUGCCGCGUGCAGCAUGAAGGCCUUCGGGUUGUAAACUGCUUUUGUACGGAACGAAAAGACUCCUUCUAAUACAGGGGGUCCAUGACGGUACCGUAAGAAUAAGCACCGGCUAACUACGUGCCAGCCGCCGCCGUAAGAC
rnacentral:rRNA from 1 species